rnacentral:rRNA from 1 species
AGUGAACGCUGGCGGUAGGCCUAACACAUGCAAGUCGAACGGCAGCACAGUAAGAGCUUGCUCUUACGGGUGGCGAGUGGCGGACGGGUGAGGAAUACAUCGGAAUCUACUUUUUCGUGGGGGAUAACGUAGGGAAACUUACGCUAAUACCGCAUACGACCUACGGGUGAAAGCAGGGGAUCUUCGGACCUUGCGCGAUUGAAUGAGCCGAUGUCGGAUUAGCUAGUUGGCGGGGUAAAGGCCCACCAAGGGGACGAUCCGUAGCUGGUGUGAGAGGAUGGUCAGCCACCCUGGAAGUGGGACACGGACCAUACUACUACGGGAGGCAGCAGUGGGGAAUAUUGGACAAUGGGCGCAAGCCUGAUCCAGCCAGACCGCGUGGGUGAAGAAGGCCUUCGGGUUGUAAAGCCCUUUUGUUGGGAAAGAAAAGCAGCAGGUUAAUACCCCGCUGUUCUGACGGUACCCAAAGAAUAAGCACCGGCUAACUUCGUG